GCGACCCCAGGUCAGACGGGAC
rnacentral:rRNA from 3 species